GUCCAGCUGACGAGUCUCAAAUAAGACGAAACGCGAGUUCUUGAU
rnacentral:hammerhead_ribozyme from 1 species